rnacentral:rRNA from 1 species
ACGGACACCGGAGCAAUCCGAGUGUUAGUGGCAAACGGGAGCGUAACACAUUGGUAACCUGCCCCGGAGACGAGAAUAACCUGCCGAAAGGCGGGCUAAUCCUCGAUAGUGAUGCGGGGGCGCAAGCCAUUCGCAUUGAAAGCCGCAAGGCGCUUCGGGAGGGACCUAUGCCCUAUCAGCUAGUUGGUGAGGUAACGGCUCACCAAGGCAACGACGGGUAGCGGGCGUGAGAGCGCGACCCGCCUCAGUGGAACUGAGACACUGUCCACACUCCUACGGGAGGCUGCAGUCAAGAAUCUUCCCCAAUGGACGAAAGUCUGAGGGAGCGACGCCGCGUGCGGGAUGAAGCCCUUCGGGGUGUAAACUGCUUUUAUCAGGGACGAAGCUUCGGCUGACGGUACCUGGUGAAUAAGAGGUUGCUAACUCUGUGCCAGCAGCAGCGGUAAUACAGAGACCUCAAGCGUUAUCCGGAUUUACUGGGCGUAAAGCGUCCGCAGGUGGCCGCGCAAGUCACCGGUUAAAUCUCUGGGCUCAACCCAGAGGCCGCCGGUGAUACUGCACGGCUUGAGGAUGGGAGAGGUGCGCGGAAUUGCCGGUGUAGUAGUAAAAUGCGUUAAUAUCGGCAAGAACACCAAAGGCGAAGGCAGCGCACUGGAACAUUCCUGACACUCAUGGACGAAAGCGUGGGGAGCGAAUGAGAUUAGAUACCUCAGUAGUCCACGCCCUAAACGAUGAGUGCUAGAUAUGGGGAGUAUCGACCCUCUCCGUGUCGUCGAAAUAAGCUAACGCGUUAAGCACUCCGCCUGGGGAGUACGGCCGCAAGGCUAAAACUCAAAGGAAUAGACGGGGACCCGCACAAGCGGUGGAGCAUGUGGUUCAAUUCGACGAUAAGCGAGGAACCUUACCAAGGUUUGACAUGCAGCUGCACGUCCCUGGAAACAGGGAUUCCUUCGAGGGUGCUGCACAGGUGCUGCAUGGUUGUCGUCAGCUCGUGCCGUGAGGUGUUCCGUUCAGUCGGGAAACGAGCGCAA